rnacentral:rRNA from 1 species
UACGUAGGCAGCAAGCGUUGUUCGGAGUUACUGGGCGUAAAGGGUGCGUAGGCGACUUUUUAAGUUUGGUGUGAAAUCUCCCGGCUCAACUGGGAGGGUGCGCCGAAUACUGAGAGGCUAGAGUGCGGGAGAGGAAAGUGGAAUUCCUGGUGUAGCGGUGAAAUGCGUAGAUAUCAGGAGGAACACCGGUGGUGUAAACGGCUUUCUGGACCGUAACUGACGCUGAGGCACGAAAGCGUGGGUAGCAAACAGG